rnacentral:rRNA from 1 species
UUAAGAAUAUUAUUAAUAAAAUUGGGGUUAAAUUAAUUUGAAAAAAAUAAAUUUUGUUUUAGUUUAUUUAUUAAAAAAUUAUUUAUAAUUAUAGAAUAUUAGUAUUGUGAAAGAAUUAUUUUAAAGAUUAAAAAGAAUAAUGAAUUUAGUACCUUGUGUAUCAGGGUUUAUUAAAUAUAAUAAUAAUUUUAAUUUCUCGAAUUUGGAAGAGUUAUGAUUAUAUGUAUAUUAUUGUUAAAUAAAUAUUUAUAAUAUAAUUAUAGAAAUGAAACGUUAUUCGUUUUCAAUAUAUCUAGUUAUUUAAGAAAAAAUUUAAUUAUGUUUGUAUUAAUAUUUAAUUAUUUUGUUAAUUAAAUAUUUAUUAUAAGAGUAUUUUUAUGGGGAUAAGCUUAUAGGAAAAUGAUUAUAAAUAUUAGUUAUAAAUUUUAAAAAUUAUAGGAUUAGAAGUUUCUAUUAUUAAAAUAAUGUUAUAGUUAAUUUUAUAUUUAUUAUUAUUUAUAUUUAUAUUUUAAAUUAUUUAUUAAAUUAUAAUUGUAAAUUUUGUUAGAUUAGAAAUAAUGAUAGAAUUAGUAAAUUUAUUAUGUUAUAAUUAUUAAUAAUUGAGGUUAUUUAAAGGAAUUCGGCAAAUAUAUUUUCUACCUGUUUAUUAAAAACAUGUCUUUUUGAAUAUUAAUUUAAAGUCUAACCUGCCCACUGAAGUUUUGAAGGGCCGCGGUAACUUGACCGUGCUAAGGUAGCAUAAUCAAUAGUUUUUUAAUUGAAAGCUGGAAUGAAUGGUUGAAUAAGAAAAUAACUGUCUCUAUUUAAUUUAAGUUUAAUUUUAUUUUUAAGUUAAAAAGCUUAAAUGGAUUUUAAAGACGAGAAGACCCUAUAGAGUUUAAUAGAUUAAUAUUGGUGUUAGUUUUAGAAUUUUGAUUUUAUUAAUAAAGAUUUAUUUGGUUGGGGGGAUUGUAAAAUUUAAGUAACUUUUACUGCAUAUAUACAUAGAUUUAUGAUUAUUUGAUCCAUAUUUAAUGAUUAUAAGAUUAAAUUACCUUAGGGAUAACAGCGUAAUUUUUUUUGAGAGUUCAAAUCGAAAAAAGAGUUUGCGACCUCGAUGUUGGAUUAAAAUUUAAUUUUUGGUGUAGGAGCUAAAAUAUUAGGUCUGUUCGACCUUUAAAAUUUUACAUGAUCUGAGUUUAAACCGGUGUGAGCCAGGUUGGUUUCUAUCUUGAAGUAAAUUUUAUGAUUUAGUACGAAAGGACCAAUUAUACAGUAAAUUAUUUUAUGGGGAAUAAAACU